CACGUAGGGGGCGAGCGUUGUCCGGAAUUACUGGGCGUAAAGAGCUCGUAGGUGGUUUGUCGCGUUGUUCGUGAAAACUCACAGCUCAACUGUGGGCGUGCGGGCGAUACGGGCAGACUUGAGUACUGCAGGGGAGACUGGAAUUCCUGGUGUAGCGGUGGAAUGCGCAGAUAUCAGGAGGAACACCGGUGGCGAAGGCGGGUCUCUGGGCAGUAACUGACGCUGAGGAGCGAAAGCGUGGGGAGCGAACAGG
rnacentral:rRNA from 1 species